CAUGGAACCGUCUCAUGUGAACUGUGAACAACGGAAUGUGGUGGGGUGCAACUUUCAUGGUGUCGGUAUGGGUUCUGGCAGAGAAUAGCCCCCUUUCCCACUGGCUGUUGAGAUGCUGAUACUGGGAUGGCUUGCAGGUAUGAUGCUGCAUAUCAAUUUAUGGUUUUUGAGAGUAUAGUUUCUGGCAGUUGGCAGGUGACAUUGAUUUGGCUCCCCCUUUUUUU